CCUACGGGAGGCAGCAGUGAGGAAUAUUGGUCAAUGGACGAGAGCCUGAACCAGCCAAGUAGCGUGAAGGAUGCCUGCCCUAUGGGUUGUAAACUUCUUUUAUAUGGGAAUAAAAUGUUACACGUGUGGGAUUUUGUAUGUACCAUAUGAAUAAGAAUCGGCUAACUCCGUGCCAGCAGCCGCGGUAAUACGGAGGAUCCGAGCGUUAUCCGGAUUUGUUGGGUUUAAAGGGAGCGUAGGUGGUUUGUUAAGUCAGUUGUGAAAGUUUGCGGAUCAACCGUAAAAUUGCAAUUGAAACUGGCAGUCUUGAGUACAGUAGAGGUAGGCGGAAUUCGUGGUGUAGCGGUGAAAUGCUUAGAUAUCACGAAGAACUCCGAUUGCGAAGGCAGCUCACUGGACUGCAACUGACACUGAGGCUCGAAAGUGUGGGUAUCAAACAGGAUUAGAUACCCUUGUAGUC
rnacentral:rRNA from 1 species